rnacentral:rRNA from 1 species
GAUUAGUGGCGAACGGGUGAGUAACACGUGGGCAAUCUGCCCUUCACUCUGGGACAAGCCCUGGAAACGGGGUCUAAUACCGGAUAUGACACACGACCGCAUGGUCUGUGUGUGGAAAGCUCCGGCGGUGAAGGAUGAGCCCGCGGCCUAUCAGCUUGUUGGUGGGGUAAUGGCCUACCAAGGCGACGACGGGUAGCCGGCCUGAGAGGGCGACCGGCCACACUGGGACUGAGACACGGCCCAGACUCCUACGGGAGGCAGCAGUGGGGAAUAUUGCACAAUGGGCGAAAGCCUGAUGCAGCGACGCCGCGUGAGGGAUGACGGCCUUCGGGUUGUAAACCUCUUUCAGCAGGGAAGAAGCGAAAGUGACGGUACCUGCAGAAGAAGCGCCGGCUAACUACGUGCCAGCAGCCGCGGUAAUACGUAGGGCGCAAGCGUUGUCCGGAAUUAUUGGGCGUAAAGAGCUCGUAGGCGGCCAGUCGCGUCGGGUGUGAAAGACCGGGGCUUAACCCCGGUUCUGCAUUCGAUACGGGCUGGCUAGAGUGUGGUAG